UAAAAGUAAAUAUGCUUAAACUUUAAGUUUAAGUAUGUUUUUGGUAUUUUGAAUAUGUCAUAAAUAUUAAUUCUUUAUUUUAAUCAAAAUAAAAGAUUGUUUACAGUUUUAUUAUUGCAAAAUAACAAAAUCAUUUACAUUAAACUUCCGACGUUGUAAUGUUGGCCCGACAUUAAUGAACCGUCAAUGUUGCUACGUAAACUUAUGUUGAAACAUUUUUUAAUAAAAAAAAUAUUUAUUUAUUUUAAUUUUUAUUUAUUCAUUUUUAAUUAUUUAACCCUUAUGUAGAUUUUCAAAACUGUGGAAUAUAACUUAGAUUUUUUUUCACUAAAACUGUCGACUAAUACUUUAGUACAAUUACAUCGGGAUCGAAGUCGGGCUCGAAAUGCAAUUAAUUUAAACAACACACCGCGCCGAAAUUCAAGUUUUUUGGGGGUUCCACGCAGCCAUGUUGAACUUGAUCAUGAUGUUGUACAGAAGGAAAGUGCGAAAGAGGGUGUCGCGAAAAGGAGAAGUAUAAUUAGCUUUGGAUGGAAUUUCUGUUUUGACAGAAGAUGAAGACAUUUUACGACCCUAUACUGCGGUAUGAACAAUAUACACAAUUUUAUCAUGUGUCCUUGAAUGAAUAAUUAUCUUCUGCUUCUGACAAUGUUACUGUUCCUUAGUCUGGGCACUACACAUAAAAAGCCUGACCGUAAAAACGUUUGAGCAAGCACUAUUUAAAUUUUGCAAUUAUUAUCUUUUAAACAUCUCUCAUAAAGAUGGAUUUUAACCAGAAUUUCCUCGUUUGGGAUUGGUUCAGGAAUUUUAGUGUUCCUCUGUUCAGCAUUUACAAAGUAUGUUGUACAAUGUAAAAAAAAUAUAUUUACUUUUUAAUGUAUGUUCAAGAUCAUAUUCAGCACUUAUUUUGAUUAUUUAAUAGUUGCAGUGGACUGUGCCUGAGACGAUUCCCCACAGCGCCGGCGUAUAUAGUCAGCUUGUGAAAAUGGAAUCCGAAUACUCACAAGAAGGACAAAACCAGUAUGAAAAUUAGCACAAAGAAAUUGUGCCAGAAAUGUUUGAAGUAUCUAUGGGAAUGAUCUGACAACAUCGAACUUUCUGAGCCUUCCUUCUUAAAGUGACAUGACCAGAUAUUUGGCUACCCAGUUUGAGAUACGAACUAUAAUCAUUUGUUGUACGACUUGUUGUGUAUGAGAUUGCCACAUUUACUGGAACUUUAAACCCCAGCUAUCUACAGUUAUCUUUCUGCUAAAUGAAAUAAAAUAUUGUGGAGGAACACAGAGAAAAGGGCACCUCAACAUGUUCAAGGUCAAACAGUUUUAUACCAUAUCCAUAGUAUCUUGCUGCUAAAUGAAAGAAUUAUUGUGGAGGAACAGAGAAAAGGGCACCUCAACAUGUUCAAGGUCAAGCAGAAAUUAGGAGCUACAUGUGCUUCUCCAGAGCUGAAAAUUUCUUGGGAUGAAGAGAAGAAAAAGCAAGAAGAAGCAGUUUUAAAUAUUGAUUAUGUCUUUAUAGUACAAAAAAUGAUUCGAAAGAUGAUACUAUUUAUGAAAUUAGAAAACUGAAGUGCCGUUCUGAUGAAUGUGAAAAUGUCCUUAAAGAACAGGACACUUAAAGUGCCACUCUCAAAUCAAAACACUCUAAAAGGCAGAGCUUAAGAAGAACUAGGACAAAUAAAGAAUCUAAAAGAGUAAAACCUAAUGAUGUAGUGAUUGAACAGAAAUGGGCUAUUAGAGAUCAAAUAUCUAAGUUAUUACUGUUUUGCACAAAUGUGAUGUUUUUUUACUUAACUUUAAUUCACACAUUCAAUGUUAGAUAAGAAAAAUAUACCUUAGUAGUGUUGUAUUUUUGACAGUUAAAGUUUUUUCUGAUACUUCAUUACAGAUUAAAACUGUUAUAUUUUUUAUUGUUUAAACAUUGAU